CUCGCUCUGUCUCCCAGACUAGAGUGCAGUGGUGCAAUCUUGGCUCACUGCAACCUCCACCUCCCAAGCUCAAGUGAUUCUCGUGCCUUAGUCUCCUGAAUAGCUGGGAUUAUAGGCAUGUACCACCGCGCCCGGCUAAUUUUUGUAUAUUUUGUAGAGGAGAGGUUUCACCAUGUUGGCCAGGGUGGUCUCAAACUCCUGGCUACAAGUGAUCCACCCACCUCAGCCUCCCAAAGUGCUGGGAUUAUAGGUGUGAGCCACCAUACCUGGUCUAGUUUUUGUUGUUGUUUUUUAAAACUAAUAUUUCAAGGCAUUAAUCUGGAACCUUCCCAAGUCAGAGGAUCCUCUAUUGGGUAGGAUUUCACACCUGUGAGGGCAGGCAUGGCCAUUUCAGAUGCUCUAGAGAACUGGGUUCCUGUCUGUGCUCAGAAAGUGAGGACCCACCUUCCUUCCACUGGACUUUUCACUGAAAAAUCUAUUUCCAUGGUGAUAAACCUGGGCUUCAGCCUUAGAAUUAGAAGUCAGCUCUUGAGCUCUAAAACCCACACUUGGUUUAACCAUGACAUUCUUUUGUGAAAUUUUACAUGUUUCAUCUUUGAAAAUGUCUUUUCACAGAGGUAGGUACUGCCAAAUACUGAUUACAUGGUAGAAGUCAUAUGGCAUGAAGAUAGUUUAUCUCUGAUGGUGGAAAAGGGGGUAUCCAUACAAACCAGGAAGAUUUCCUUCCAACUCUUGCUUCUUCAGUCUCUCCCCAUCACACAUGUGGACUGUAAUUCAUCUUUUUCUUGUCACUGUUGUUACAAAAAUGGAGAAGGAAAAAUAACCCAGCAAAAACUGACAGCUAGCAAGGAUGAGUCCUAAGAAUUGACUGGGAGCAAUAAUUGUUUUUCAAACUAGGGAACUGGAGGCAAUUUGCUUCUGAUGUAAGAUGGCCCUCACGUAGUGUCUGCUGGUACCCAGCUGUCCUAUGCCCAUGGGUUUAAAGUGCACAGCUGUUGUCUUGUCUUUGACAAUGUGUACUCCUGGCAUUCGGUCAUUCCCUUAGAAGGGGGUAGUUCAGUAAUGAUACCCUAUCCCAGAGGUUAUCAAACUUUUUCUGUACAGGACCAGAUAGCAAUUUUUUUUUUUUUUUUUUUAAGCAGAGUUUCGCUCUGUCACUCAAGCUGGAGUGCAGUAGUGCAAUCUUGGCUCACUGCAACCUCUGCCUCCUGGGUUCAAGCGAUUCUCCUGCCUCAGCCUCCCAAGCAGAUGGGAUUAUAGGUGCGCACCACCAUGCCUGGCUAAUUUUUGUAUUUGUAGUAGAGAUGGGAUUUCGCUAUGUUGGCCAGGCUGGUGUCAAAACUCCUGACCUCAGGUGAUCCACCCUCCUCGGCUUCCCUAAGUGCUGGGAUUACAGGCGUGAGCCACCGCACCUGGCCCAUAUAGUAAAUAUUUUAAGCUUUGCAGGCCAAGAGGCAAAAUCAAGGGUAUUAUGAGACUUACCUCAAUAAUAAGAGAAGAAACAAAAUUUUCACAGAUUUUUUUAUUGACAAAAUUCACAACAUAAUUAUUGAGUCCAGCUAUAAUAAUACACAUCUACUAAUGAGGGGAAUAGAAUUCUUUUUAGGGGGAUAACCAUUUGCUUAAUUGGGGCCCAAAAUUAGUGUUCCCUCACAUCAAAUCAAUUGUAGAUGUUCAUCUAUUAAUACUAAUUAGUAUUAAUAUUAAUAUUAAUACUAAUGAAAAUGUAUUUUCAUGCAGAUAGGUAUUGCCAGACACUGAUCAUCAACCCACGAGGAUGUGAUUUAAUUGGGCAUAUUCGUUGCUUGGAAGACACUUAUAGAAUUCUGUUUGUUUCUCGGUAAUUUCUUAACACAUCAUUACAUUGCAGACUAAUCUCCUUCCAGUUGCAGGUUAGGAGGAAGCUUCUCAAUUGCACAGUUAGAUGGAUUUUCAAAUGUGGAUAUUUCCUUUGUGCUUGCAUCAGGUCCAAAAAAUGUUGCUGGAACUGUAGUUUGAAUUUGGAAAGAUAUAACUGCUAUACAGUUGUGCAGGAAUGGAAGUAUACCACAAGUUGCUGACUUUGGGCCCAUAUUAAUGGAGAUGGUGGGCUGCAAGGGGACAAGUCAGUGCUGCUUUAAGAGAUCCUGACUUUCUUCCUGAUUCUAGGUCAUAGCCUGCAGUGCUACAGCUGUCCUAACCCAACUGCUGACUGCAAAACAGCUGUCAAUUGUUCAUCUGGUUUUGAUGCGUGUCUCAUUACCAAAGCUGGGUUACGAGUGUAUAACCAGUGUUGGAAAUUUGAGCAUUGCACUUUCAACGAGGUUACAACCCGCUUGAAGGAAAGUGAGCUAACGUACCACUGCUGCAAGAAGGACCUGUGUAACAUUAACGAACAGCUUGAAAAUGGUGGGACAUCCUUAUCAGAGAAAACAGUUCUUCUGCUGGUGACUCCAUUUCUGGCAGCAGCCUGGAGCCUUCAUCCCUAAGUCAACACCAGGAGAGCUUCUCCCAAACUCCCUGUUCCUGCAUAGUCCCCUUUCUCUUGCUGUUACAUUCUAAAGGCUUGAUAUUUUCCAAAUGGAUCCUGUUGGGAAAGAAUAAAAUUAGCUUGAGCAACCUGGCUAAGAUAGAGGGGCUCUAGGAGACUUUGAAGACCAGUCCUGUUUGCAGGGAAGCCCCACUUGAAGGAAGAAGUCUAAGAGUGAAGUAGGUGUGACCUGAACUAGACUGCAUGCUUCCUCCUUUGCUCUUGGGAAGCCCAGCUUUGCAGUGACAGCUUGAGUGGGUUCUCUGCAGCCCUCAGAUUAUUUUUCCCCUGGCUCCUUGGAUGUAGUCAGUUAGCAUCAUUAGUACAUCUUUGGAGGGUGGGGCAGGAGUAUAUGAGCAUCGUCUCUCACAUGGAACGCUUUCAUAAACUUCAGGGCUCCCGUGUUGCCAUGGAGGCAUGCCAAAUGUUCCAUAUGUGGGUGUCAGUCAGGGACAACAAGAUCCUUAAUGCAGAGCUAGAGGACUUCUGGCAGGGAAGUGGGGAAGUGUUCCAGAUAGCAGGGCAUGAAAACUUAGAGAGGUACAAGUGGCUGAAAGUCAAGUUUUUCCUCUGUCUUUAAAUUUUAUAUGAGCUUUGUUAUCUUUCACUGAAAAAGUGUAAUAGCAUACAUUAAUGGUGUGUUAAAGCUAUUUCCUUGCCUUUUUUUUUACUGGAAUGGUAGGAUAUCUUGGCUUUGCCACACACAGUUACAGAGUGAACACUCUACUACAUGUGACUGGCAGUAUUAAGUGUGCUUAUUUUAAAUGUUACUGGUAGGAAGGCAGUUCAGGUAUGUGUGUAUAUAGUGUGAAUGCAAUGGGAACAACCUUUGUGGUUACAGCUUGAGACUUCCAAAGGUCAUCCUUAAUAACAGCAGAUCUGCAGGGGUAUGUUUUACCAUCUGCAUCCAGCCUCCUGCUAACUCCUAGCUGACUCAGCAUAGAUUGUAUAAAAUACCUUUGUAACGGCUAUUAGCACAGUCACGGAUGUUUGAGGCUUUCAGAAGCUCUUUCUAAAAAAUGGUACACACCUUUCACAAGGGCAAACUUUUUCCUUUUCCCUGUGUAUUCUAGUGAAUGAAUCUCAAGAUUCAGUAGACCUAAUGACAUUUGUAUUUUAUGAUCUUGGCUGUAUUUAAUCGCAUAGCCUAACUUUUGCAGAUGGAGGAAUUUCUUGAUUAAUGUUGAAAAAACCCCCUUGAUUAUACUCUGUUGGAC
rnacentral:sRNA from 1 species